AAGAUUAGCCUGCGUCCGAUUAGCUAGUUGGUGGGGUAAGGGCCUACCAAGGCGACGAUCGUUAGCUGGUCUGAGAGGAUGACCAGCCACACUGGAACUGAGACACGGUCCAGACUCCUACGGGAGGCAGCAGUGGGGAAUAUUGGACAAUGGGGGCAACCCUGAUCCAGCAAUGCCGCGUGUGUGAAGAAGGCCUGAGGGUUGUAAAGCACUUUCAGUGGGAAGGAGGAUUGAUAGGUUAAGAGCUAAUUGAUUGGACGUUACCCACAGAAGAAGCACCGGCUAACUCCGUGCCAGCAGCCGCGGUAAUACGGAGGGUGCGAGCGUUAAUCGGAAUUACUGGGCGUAAAGGGUGCGUAGGUGGUUAUAUAAGUUAUCUGUGAAAUCCCUGGGCUCAACCUGGGCAGGUCAGAUAAUACUGUAUGACUCGAGUAUGGGAGAGGGUAGUGGAAUUUCCGGUGUAGCGGUGAAAUGCGUAGAGAUCGGAAGGAACACCAGUGGCGAAGGCGGCUACCUGGCCUAAUACUGACACUGAGGCACGAAAGCGUGGGGAGCAAACAGGAUUAGAUACCCUGGUAGUCCACGCUGUAAACGAUGUCAACUAGCU
rnacentral:rRNA from 1 species